AUAGGGGAGCCGCAGGGAAACCGAGUCUUAACCGGGCGUUAAGUUGCAGGGUAUAGACCCGAAACCCGGUGAUCUAGCCAUGGGCAGGUUGAAGGUUGGGUAACACUAACUGGAGGACCGAACCGACUAAUGUUGAAAAAUUAGCGGAUGACCUGUGGCUGGGGGUGAAAGGCCAAUCAAACCGGGAGAUAGCUGGUUCUCCCCGAAAGCUAUUUAGGUAGCGCCUCGUGAACUCAUCUUCGGGGGUAGAGCACUGUUUCGGCUAGGGGGUCAUCCCGACUUACCAACCCGAUGCAAACUGCGAAUACCGGAGAAUGUUAUCACGGGAGACACACGGCGGGUGCUAACGUCCGUCGUGAAGAGGGAAACAACCCAGACCGCCAGCUAAGGUCCCAAAGUCAUGGUUAAGUGGGAAACGAUGUGGGAAGGCCCAGACAGCCAGGAUGUUGGCUUAGAAGCAGCCAUCAUUUAAAGAAAGCGUAAUAGCUCACUGGUCGAGUCGGCCUGCGCGGAAGAUGUAACGGGGCUAAACCAUGCACCGAAGCUGCGGCAGCGACGCUUAUGCGUUGUUGGGUAGGGGAGCGUUCUGUAAGCCGUUGAAGGUGGCCUGUGAGGGUUGCUGGAGGUAUCAGAAGUGCGAAUGCUGACAUAAGUAACGAUAAAGCGGGUGAAAAGCCCGCUCGCCGGAAGACCAAGGGUUCCUGUCCAACGUUAAUCGGGGCAGGGUGAGUCGACCCCUAAGGCGAGGCCGAAAGGCGUAGUCGAUGGGAAACAGGUUAAUAUUCCUGUACUCGGUGUUACUGCGAAGGGGGGACGGAGAAGGCUAUGUUGGCCGGGCGACGGUUGUCCCGGUUUAAGCAUGUAGGCGGGUGUUCCAGGUAAAUCCGGAACGCUGUUAACGCUGAGGUGUGAUGACGAGGCACUACGGUGCUGAAGCAACAAAUGCCCUGCUUCCAGGAAAAGCCUCUAAGCAUCAGGUAACAUCAAAUCGUACCCCAAACCGACACAGGUGGUCAGGUAGAGAAUACCAAGGCGCUUGAGAGAACUCGGGUGAAGGAACUAGGCAAAAUGGUGCCGUAACUUCGGGAGAAGGCACGCUGAUGGUAGGUGAAGUGAUUUACUCAUGGAGCUGAAAUCAGUCGAAGAUACCAGCUGGCUGCAACUGUUUAUUAAAAACACAGCACUGUGCAAACACGAAAGUGGACGUAUACGGUGUGACGCCUGCCCGGUGCCGGAAGGUUAAUUGAUGGGGUUAUCCUCGCGGAGAAGCUC
rnacentral:rRNA from 3 species